rnacentral:rRNA from 1 species
GACGAACGCUGGCGGCGUGCUUAACACAUGCAAGUCGAACGGAAAGGCCCUGCUUUUGUGGGGUGCUCGAGUGGCGAACGGGUGAGUAACACGUGAGUAACCUGCCCUUGACUUUGGGAUAACUUCAGGAAACUGGGGCUAAUACCGGAUAGGAGCUCCUGCUGCAUGGUGGGGGUUGGAAAGUUUCGGCGGUUGGGGAUGGACUCGCGGCUUAUCAGCUUGUUGGUGGGGUAGUGGCUUACCAAGGCUUUGACGGGUAGCCGGCCUGAGAGGGUGACCGGCCACAUUGGGACUGAGAUACGGCCCAGACUACUACGGGAGGCAGCAGUGGGGAAUAUUGCACAAUGGGCGGAAGCCUGAUGCAGCAACGCCGCGUGCGGGAUGACGGCAUUCGGGUUGUAAACCGCUUUCGCCUGUGACGAAGCGUGAGUGACGGUAAUGGGUAAAGAAGCACCGGCUAACUACGUG